GCACCCGACGCUCGCUCCUUCCUUCCUGUGGUGCGAUCUCCCCCAUCAGGUCGUGCCACCACCACCAGCCUGCGUCCUCGCACCGCCGUCGCAGAUCCAUCGCACUCGAUGUCGCGCGCCACCCACCAUAGGUGCUGCCAGCACCACCCUCGCCCUCGUGUCUCACGCGGCCUCGAUCAUCACCCUUGCCCUUGCCCUCAUCCAUCAGCCUCGCUGGACAUCGCACCUGUGUCAUCACCGUCGCCGUCACGAGCCACGACCGCCCUCGGCUGCUGCACGUGCUCUAUGAUCCCGGUGAGUCUUGCGGCGCAUGCGGGCCGGCCAUGGCACGACCAUGUGGCUAGGGUUCCGUGCUCACCAACAUUCACGCCGUCACCGCCCACUUGCUCACCGACAUCAAGGCCGACCUCUGAGAUGUUGAAGGAUUUAGAGGAUUUAGCAGGGCGUCGUCGCCGUGGAUGUCCUGGCGGGAGGCCGAAGUGAGCACCACUAUGUGGGAGCUAGCUGUGAAGACGCCAUCGCCGCGUGAUGAGCCAAUGAGAUCUCUUCAUGAUCUCCACGGUGCAUGCUCCAGUGGCGCCACAGUGCUGCAAUUGGAUAGAAGCAGUGGUGGUGCAGCAGCAAGAGGAUUGGUACCAUAAGGUCAAUGUAUGUUGUUGUCAAGGUCUUGGAGCAGUUGUACGGGAGGCAGUGCAAGGGUCCUAGACAUCUUGUCCUUCGAUUCUUGCAGAGUUACUUGCUUGUCUGACUGCAUCAACCUGAAACUAAGAACUCAAGUUACUCUGGUGAUCUGCAAAAAGACAAUAUAUAGCUGCCCAAGAUGAUGUGCAUCCACAGCUUGAUCCACUGAUGCUUCGUGCAGCUUUUAGAGAAGAUAUCUGUUUCGGUAUGCAAUCUUUCCUGCACCCCAUUCUCUUUCUAGGUUCAUUGAUUUUUUUAUGAUAAGAUCAGGAGGGGUUAUCCCUACUUUCUUGCUAUUGAUUGAGUCUGGCAUUGGUUCUAAGGGAAUAGUCAACAAGGAUUCAGAAGAGCAAAUGUCCAUCUGAGUGAAAGAAGUUGACAAAGUCCCUCUGUGUUCGGUCAUUAAUGUAUUUUCUCUAUGAAUGUCAUUCUGGUACUGCAAUUUUCAUUACUUUAGAACAACCGUCCAACGUUGAGGUCAUUGAGUUUUCGUCACUUUCAGUUUUCAAGGCUGCUGCAAGUGUUGGCUUGCAUGUGGAUUGACUAAGAUAGUGUCCUUAGUGCUUUGCAAUAUAAUUGUGAUUUUUAUCUGA